UGGAAAGGGGUUUAGUGGAACAACAUCUGCUUUGCAUGCAGAAGGUCGCUGGUUCAAUAUCUGGCAUCUCCAU